UCCCUCACAGUGGAUAGCUCAGUUGGUAGAGCACGAGACUCUUAAUCCCAGGGUUGUGGGUUCAAGCCCCAUGUUGGGUGAA
rnacentral:tRNA from 1 species